rnacentral:rRNA from 1 species
UACGGAGGAUGCAAGCGUUAUCCGGAAUGAUUGGGCGUAAAGCGUCCGCAGGUGGCUAUGUAAGUCUGCUGUUAAAGAGUCUAGCUCAACUAGAUAAGAGCAGUGGAAACUACAUGGCUAGAGUGCGUUCGGGGCAGAGGGAAUUCCUGGUGUAGCGGUGAAAUGCGUAGAGAUCAGGAAGAACACCGGUGGCGAAGGCACUUUACUGGGCUAUUACUAACACU